AGGCAGCAGUGGGGAAUUUUGGACAAUGGACGAAAGUCUGAUCCAGCCAUGCCGCGUGCGGGAAGAAGGCCUUCGGGUUGUAAACCGCUUUUGUCAGGGAAGAAAUCCCUUGGGAUAAUACCUCGGGGGGAUGACGGUACCUGAAGAAUAAGCACCGGCUAACUACGUGCCAGCAGCCGCGGUAAUACGUAGGGUGCAAGCGUUAAUCGGAAUUACUGGGCGUAAAGCGCGCGCAGGCGGUUAUGCAAGACAGAUGUGAAAUCCCCGGGCUCAACCUGGGAACUGCAUUUGUGACUGCAUAGCUGGAGUGCGGCAGAGGGGGAUGGAAUUCCGCGUGUAGCAGUGAAAUGCGUAGAUAUGCGGAGGAACACCGAUGGCGAAGGCAAUCCCCUGGGCCUGCACUGACGCUCAUGCACGAAAGCGUGGGGAGCAAACAGGAUUAGAUACCCUGGUAG
rnacentral:rRNA from 1 species